AAAAUUUUGGUUAGGUUUUUUUGGUUUAGGUAUGUUUUAUUGACUUACCCAUUUUACCCCUCCUAAAAAAUACAUUCUCGAUAGAUAUCCAAGCAUCAGUCUCCCUCUCAAUCACCAGUACACUCGAAUUUUCCCUCUGUCUGUCUCUCCACCUCGGUGCUUAGUACCUUUGUUAAGCAGUUGAAGCAUCAAGAGAAGCAUCAAGAGAAAUACCGAGAUAAAAGACUAUACACAGAGGCAAGGCAAACAAAUAGCUUAAAGAGGAAGAAGCUUUCUUCUCGACUUCCUUAUCCUGCCUCAAUAGCUUUGGUGUUACUUGGAUGUGGCUUGGUGUACUCAUUGAUUGUUUUCGCAAAAGGAUCACCUUCAUCAGUCUUAGGGGCAAUAGCAAAGUCAGGGUUCACUGCUGCAUUCUCUUUAAUUUUUGUGUCUGAAAUUGGAGACAAGGUUAAUGGAACACGAUGAGGAGCGUUGGAAAAAAUUCAAAGAAGACCAGUGGAAACGUUUACGUGAUAUUGAAGAACAGAGCGUCCCGAAGAUGACGGAUUUGGAAAUUUUAGCUUGGAAACGCAGGAUUAAUCAUACAAUAGUAAAUACAAUUGUUGAUAGUUUCUUUGUAUGUGUUUCAUUCAUUUUUUAAGCUUGACAAAUUUAGUGAAUGAGGCUGGGGAUUUGAAGAUGGUA